CUAUGGAGACAGGCUGAGAGAGUUGGGCUUGUUCAGCCUGGAGAAGGCUCAGGGGAGACCUUAGAGAAGCUUCCAGUGCAUAAAGGGGCCGGCAAGAAAGCUGGAGAGGAGCUUUUGUCAAGGGCAGGUAGGGGUAAGACAAGGGGGAAUGGCUUUAAACUGACAGAGGGGAGAUUUAGAUUAGAUAUUAGGAAGAAGUUCUUCCCUGUCAGGGUAGUAAGGCACUGAAAGAGGUUGCCCAG